CAGGCACAACAAACAUGCCAGGAAAUGGAAACUGAGUAAAGUUUGGAACAACCGCUGUCUAACGUUACAAACAAGUGACCACGAAUAAACCAGGUUUGCCGAAAUGGAUAUGGAUAAUACAUCAACAAACUCUCAAGAUCACAGCUAUUCCAAUCCAGCAGGAAAUGUUAUGAAGCAACCUCCCAAGAGUCACAGAUACUGCUGUGUACCUCACUGCACCAGUCGUGGUUACAACAAAGAUGAUGAGCAUGGUGAAAAAUUGCACCACUUCAGAUUUCCAGAUUUUUUGGUGCAAAUACUAGUAGUACAACUGUAUUGAUGCUUUCUCUUUUUCUGUAUCUAUCAUCCUUGAAAAUACAUACUACUAAUGUCAUUGGCAUUAAAAUAGUUUUGUAAUUUUUUUAC